UUUCUAGUUUGUGAAAAUUGACGAAAAAUUCUCCAGAUUUCUCCCCUUUUCUCUUUAAUGACUUAACAUGGAUAUCAGCUGUCAGUUUUUGUCUUUUUCCAUGUAAUUAUCAAAUGUCUUAAAAAGCAUCUUGUGUUUGAAGACGUUCCCAUGUUUAGUUGCAGCAAGUUCUCCUGUUUUGGAGGGAAUUUUUUGCCUUAGUCAUUCUCCAUCCUGGUGGUUGCAGGGAGUUCAAUGUUCAACUUUCUCCUCUCAUUUGAGACUCAUUUCUUUCCCCCUUUAUCUUCAUUAAAAUGUUUGCUGAUGAAAGUGACUCGCCCCAUAUUUAAUACACAUCAAAGCCAGAGGCCUCCCCCUGUUUGGGGGGAACGGUGUCUCCCAGCUGCUCACAGGACUGUUGCCUGGACCCUUUUCCUUUCCUCAGGGGGCACAGGAUGAGGGCUCAGUCUGUGCCUGGCUCCUUGCUGCCCAGGCUGUCCCCAGAGUGGCUGCGAAUCUUCCUGCUACUGUAUUAGCCCCUCACUUGCCCCUCACCGUGUUCACCAGCAGUAUCCCAAACCCCCAUGAUGAAUGGUCUCCAUGAGGGGUUGCUUCUCCUAGUGCUGAGAUAUAGUCGUGUCUGGAGUGGGUCCCUAUUGGCCAUUAUCUGCCAGUCACCAGGCAUGAACAUUUCUUAAAAAAAUUGUCUCCUCCAUGCCAUCCAUUCUCCUGUUAAAGAAGCAUCACCCAGGGCUCCCUCAACCUGUGUGAAUGGCUGGCAGGGGCUGCUGAUAACUUUCUAUCCAUUUAUCGAUUACUGAUAUGAAAUCAUGACAGGCUUUGCUUCUUUCCCCGUUUUCAGAACUGCUGGAACUCCAGGUUUUGGAGGGAAACUGUUGCUGUGAAUCCUUCUCCCCCUUCUUAAUCAAGAGACACUUCAAGGAAGAACAUGAAGUGACUCCAGAUUAACAUGGGGGCAAAUAAAAUCAGGAUAUGCCCCUCUGGGGAGGGGGUUUCAGUUGUUGCUAAAUGGGGGGAAGCCCUCAGUCUCUGUCUGACUGUGUCUCUCUCUCUUCUCAGGAUAUUGGGGUUGAGCUUCCUGGAUCAGACGCUGCUGCCUGCAUUGUGAUCUGGGAGCCCAGACUGAGCAGCUGCUGCUCCCCCGGUGGGGUCUGGGCUCGGGAGUGACUUGGGGCGAAGCUUCCUCUGUGCCCAGGCAAGGGGCCGGUGAAGUUCGAGGAGGUGGCUGUGUAUUUCACCAGGGAAGAGUGGGCUCUGCUGGACCCCAUUCAGAGAGCUCUCUAGAGAGACAUCAUGCAGGAGAACUAUGAGAAUGUGACCUUGCUGGGGUUUCCAGUUUCCAUACCUGAUGUGAUCUCCCAGGUGGAACAAGGGGAAGAGCCAUGG